UUGAUUUUUUUUACUGGUUUUACGAAGACUGAAAAAGAACUGUGCAUGCUAAAGUAAAAAGGGGAGCUGCAAACACCACAUGCCCACCCAAUAUCAGCUAAGAGAGAACACUUGGUGGGUAAGAGAAGAAAGAUGUCCCUACAGGAAAUUGAAAGGCAUGAUUUGCAUGUCAAUAGAAGACACGUCGAAUUCUUUAUAUUAACAUGAGCAACAUGAAUAUCCCAUUCCAAAGUAAGUUUUUGCAUUACUGACUUGAAUGUACACUGCAAGCAGCUGCUGAUGCUGUUGAGUGUUUGACAAAACUAUAUUAACAGCUAUAUUUGCAUAAGCAGCUUCAGAGUUCAAGAGCUCGAAAAAGGCAAAAACCAUCAUGUUUGAUGCUUCAGUUCAGAUUUAAAAGAACUUGAGCGCAUUGGCGGCAUGUUAACUGUUAAAUAAACUCACAAUUCAUUGGAACAUCAACAGUGAUACUGUUGCUCAUCAGAAUGAAACAACUGAUUUAGAAUGUGUUGAAGUCUGUAACUUAGAAAGAGCAGUAUCACUUUCAUCAUGCUCAUUAAAAACUAAAGGUCUCCCAUUGAUAUCCUUCUUUUGUGAGAUAAAACUCUCUUCAGACAGUGCCUUCUCUAACCUCUCCUCAAAUGGUGUUGCAUGCCAACUCACUUUCUGAUCUUCCUUGUAUUUAUUAGUUGAAUUUGGGAUUCCAUUUCCAUCCCACCACUUCUGGGAGAUAUGAGAAGGCUCAUUCUCAUUCCAAUGAGCAGCAACCAUCCCAAUGAUAGGCCUGUCCGUAGGAGUUUUACCAAAACGGAAAUUUUUGCUAGAUGCAGUUCUAUCAUUUGGAUCAUCAUUAUCAUUAACAGAUUGUCGUGGCUUAAACCAAGAAGACAAGCUUGCUUCAACCUUCAAUUCUGGCACAGAGGAAGCUUCUUUAUCUCCAGCUGAUUUAGCUGUUGAAUUUUCCAGCUGCUCAGAAGAUUCUUUCAGCUGACUCGACAGUUGAAGAGAACUAGAGUCAUCUUCCUGCAGCCCCUUCCAUUGGGAGGCAUUCUCAACUGGAUUCAAGACUGGAUACACAUACUGAGACCUAAUCCUAGUCUUCCCAUUUGCCAAAAGUUCUACAUUUGUAGGGAAAACUGUUCCAGGUGUUUGCAUCUCAUCUGAAAGUUUUAAUGGAGUUGGUUUAGGAGAAGGCUUUGAUACACUGAAGUCCCCUGUGGAUUCAAAUUUCCUUAAAAUGUGGCACCCAUUUUCAGAUGAAGACCCUUUAGACGAAGGUGUAUCAAGAUUGCAUUCAAAGCGAACAGACUUGUUCUUGGGUAGAACAUCUGUUGCUGUUUUAAGACUUCCCACCUCACCACUUUCAACAGAGCUGAUGGAUAUCCUUCCAGUGUUCUGUGCAUCCGAUAUGCAGCUGAUAGGUGUGUGCUCUAAAGAGACAGAAACAUUUCCCCAUUCUUCACGAAGUUUAACGGGAGUAGGUAGCUGAUCAAUUUGUCUAUUCAACUGAAGUUUCUUGAUGGAUGUGUUGGGAAGCCAAGAGUGGAAAUCUGAAGACUCUAAAUCUUUACCAAGAGGAGCUGAACCCUUUAACUUCUCAGACGCUUUCCGAAUUUCAGAAGGUGUCUCAGGUAAAGUGCCACUGGCUUUUAGAAAUUUGGCCUCAUCCAUCAGUUCCUUGUUGAUUUGUGGAGAUCCGGAAUAAUGGUUUUUCCUGUCAUUGUAUGCAGAAUCUUCUCUCUCUUUUAGAUGGGAGAAAAAUAGUAAAAAUGUAAAAUACCAUUCAAAAGGGGGGAAAGGGGGGCAAUUGUCAGCAUCCACUGAGAAUGAAAAGUAAUUAUAUAAGAAAGACAUUGAACAUUAUUUACCUUCUGACAAAAAUAGAGCAGAUAAACGAUUUUUAGAUACCACAGCCUCCUGGAUGGCAUUCACAAAACAGAUAAAGCAGUAAAUACCAUUUUUGAGUAAUUUCUUAUUCUACAUGAUUUUCCACUCAACCAAACAGAUAUUGAUAAUUGCACAAAUGCACACAUAACCACAAAUCUUCCACACAAAAAAAAAAUUGAGAAGUGAAAGAGAAACCUAUCAUUUAUUCGAAAUCAGAAUCCCUCCGUUCUUAACUUCAAGAGUCAAUUAAAAAAUAUAAAAAGAGAAAUUUCCUUUCAUUUGAAAUUCAAACCGGGGAAAAUAAAAUUGCAAAUAAAUAAAGCACUAAAGUUCAAUUUUCAUAAAAUUCCGCCCCAGAAAAUCGCUCCAUUUUGAUGAAAUUUCCGGGCAUCCAAGCAGGGAAGGAGACAAAAACAAAACAAACAAAAUCAAGAAGCACAAGUACAGUUGAUUUAGAUCGAGAGGAAUGGCAGACGAGGUGAGGUCCCCGGCGAUCAUCUCUGACUCGAAAACAACCAAAGAAACAGCCCAUAGCUCUUGACACCGAUCUGUAAAUAAAUCUCAGCACCGAUUUGCAAAUCAAUCCAAUUUCUCGCUUCAACAAUGCGCAUAUCAUAUCAUAAAUCCGCCGUUUUUUUUCUUCUUUAAUUUUUUUUUUUUUUCUCUUUCUUGAGGGAUUAAUCAGAGAGGGAGAGAGAGUUGUUGGGUCGUUUUU
rnacentral:misc_RNA from 1 species